rnacentral:lncRNA from 1 species
UCCAUUUAAAAAGCUAAACUUCUGAAACUAAGAAGAUCUAGGAGUCUAUUUCUUAAAGGCCUUUAACAGAAUCAUAGGAUUUUGCUUUAAUUAGAUGGAAAUAUAUAUGUAAAACACACACACGCACACACACAUAUCUUAUCUCCUUGCCUUAUUUGUAUAGAAGAAAAAGAGCGAAAUGAUCUUGCCCAGACCCCAGCUCGGUCAGCAGCCGGCUAGCGGAGGAGAUAGAUAGCCUUUCCUGUGAUGAAGUGAGCCUGUGUAAGAGUCUGGGACCGAGUUACCACUACAAAUUUAGUUUUUCCUCCAUUGCAUUUUUCUCCCAUAAACACUAGAGUCUUCAGAGCAUUUUCCUAUCGCCAUUGUUUUUCUUUUCGCGCAGCUGCGCACAAGUUAAUAUUAGCCAUCCCCCUGCCGGUCCUCUCUGGGAGAUCUCGUUUAAAUUUACUGAGCGAAGGGAGGAGGACGAUAUAAUUAAUCUGUGCCCUCUUAGAAAAUUGAAAGAUUGGGGUGGACUGACUUUUCAAAAAGCUAACUUGUGCGUGGGAACCAGAAAGACUUGUGUUUUUCAUCAAAUGCAGAAAUCGGUAUUGGGGGUGGUGGAGAAAUUCACAUAAUGCAUUUUCCAUGAAAUAGCAUCGUUGUGGAGACCGCUCUUCCGAAUGGAAAGUCAGAGUCGUGCAGAACAUUGGCGCCAUCAGGUCGUGUAUAGAGCAGGAUUUCGUUGAAAGUGGAAUUAAACAUAAAGAGGUUUCUGGGCUUGGGGAAGAAGAAUGGUCGUCAGACAGGAGCAGAAGACGUGAAAGAUUGGUCUGGCCUCGCUUUACUCCAGGCGCCUUGUGGGAUGCUGACCUGUCCCGGGGUGCAGCUGCGCGCACCCCUCCUUGAGCUGUAAGCCUCUGGGCGGUGGAAAAGCAAUCGCCUGCGUCGUGACAGUUCCUACCUACUAAAUUGAAAAUUUGAAAAUCAGAGGCGGCAGGCCCACCCAAGGUGUCUACCAACAUCCGUGGACCACAGGGCUUUUUGCAAGCCCAUGGGAAAGACAGCCUGAGAGACUUCGGAGUGCGUCCUGUCCCAGGCUGUGCCUCUCCUGCUUAAGGGAAGCCUUGAGUGUAUCUCCCUAAAAACAGAUGGGGGCAGGGAAGGGGUCUAGAUCCCGUGGAGCCAGGCCUUGAUUGGAGGUCCGGGCUGGAGAGAGGGAACAUCAACCCGCCCUGACCCCCACAGCUUCCACUCACCCGAAGAGCUGCCUAAUUGGGCUGCGAGCAGCUGCGAAAUUUGUAAUCGUCUAAUGAGCCUUCCGCCUCGGUAAUUCUUAUCAAAAGGCAUAAAACUGAUAUUUUCACACUCAGCUCGCACUGCAGGCGCCGUUUAUAAACAUCCUUCAUCAGUGGGAUGAAAUUAAGCCUGCAUUGACAGAGGUCUCUGGAACUCGAUAUUUAAAAGCAAUAGAUCCGAAUUAGCAAAUUAUAACUUUAAGUAGGGAAAGUCCCCACCAACUUGACUAUUGAACCCUUUGCCUCUGAGCUCCUCGGGGUGAGUAACCACACGUUUGAGAGAACUUAACCUGGAGGUUCUGCGGUGCUCAGGCAAUCUCCGGAAACUCGGAUUCCCGAAACUGCCCCUGCUACGGCUCCUCCCGCCCGCCUUCUAGGGACUCGCCUGGGUCAGACCUGUGGAGAUCGGGGCGAGGCACAGCUGGAGCCUGAGAGAAAACGUGGUCAAAGGAGGCGCAUCCAGGACUCCCGGGCGGCCUGCAGGCGCAGAAACAGAGCCCUGCUCUUGCGGACCCGAGCUUUCCCUGGCCCGCGGCCCUCACCGCCCACCUCCAGGGCUCCAGCGCCAAGGGUACAGUGGGCCAUAGGACUGUAGGAGGCGGUGGAGGAUGGGGAGACUUUCGCGAUCAUAAGAAGGUGCGGAUUCUGGCAGAAUUCUGGUUGGCGACUCCUUCGAUCCCUGAAGGUGAAAUCUCAGCUAAAACCACUCUGAAACUGUGGAUGUCACACUUGGUUCAGGGUUAGGAGACCGUGUCUUUGGAUUUUUGCCCAUCACGUGUAACCAUUAUAAAUAUUAGUCUGGAAAAAGACUUUAGGAGAUUGCUUCUAGAGGUUCUUUCCACAAACUUACCCUGCUCAGAAUCUGCAUAACCCCUCAGAGAUGGCAGAGCUGUAUACGGGCUCACCUUGGGACUUACCGGUCCCAGACUCCGUUUUAUACCUUGCUACCCACAGUUUCUGAGGGUAAGAGAGGGGUGCUUUUAUUCACGCCAGUGGAGGUCGCCAAAAGCGGGCGAGGGCCUCCGUCUGGGACCCACUGGUCUCUCUCCCACUGUGGGCCAAGACUGAGGUUUGAUGGGCUUCCCAGCUGGGCAAGCCUGCUCCACGCGGGACACCCGGGAAUCCACUGGCGGGCAGACCCUGCCUUCGCCACCCGCCCCGCGGCAUUCCUCACUGCGGUCUGAUGCGCCAGCUGGGGCCAGUUGUUUCAAGCGGUUCUGGAGGACCAAUAGCGGAAAGCCAAGUUCUGCGACCAAGAGUCUGUACGAGUGACUCGGUGUUUCUUUCCAGCCGGUUCGCAGAGCGCCAGUAAGCUCUCCCGGUCCGCUACGGAAGAAAUAGGGGAAGCGUUUCCAGUCUAAGAGAGAGGAUGGGAGAGAGAAAAUUAGGAACCACGCCGAAAUUAAGCAGGGCAGCCUGGAAAGCUUCCCGGCUAAAAGCUAUGGCGCGAAACGCUAAAGUCCAUCACACCAUUUAUUCAUUGUGACAUUUCCAAGCCGACAAUAGCGCCUUAAGCACGCCUGUGGUUUGGAGGUGCCGGUUUUAUAUGCAUUUUACUGUUUAGAAUGAUAAACAAAUCAGGACCAAUGGAAACCUGAUUCUAACCUCUUUCUACAGAACUCUGCCUGCAUAAUUCUGUAAAAGCCGAAAUCCAAGGUGGCCAGAGAGAGAGAGAGAGAAUCCAACUCUCUACCCGCCUCCCUUUACCGCGUUUCCCUACAAGUCCUAGGCAAACCGGGCAGAUAUAGCCUGGAGUUCGCUGAUCAAGAAAGAGGAUGGAACCGAGGCCCUUCAGGCUUCUCCUCCCCUUCCACAUCCCCGUUUUCCCACUUCCCCAGGGAUGUCUGAAAGCCCAACUCGGCCAGUGUGGCAGGAAAGUUAAACUUUAUCUAAGUGCAAAAACCAGAUGGUUUUCUCGGUUUCUGGGGAUAGGUGAGAGGCAGAAGUGGGGCUGUGUGAGCCUCCUAUUCACAGGCUUGGAUGACAUUUUGAUAAGGGAACCCUCAGCUCAAGUUGUUAGCCAGGGUGAAUGAGCCCCACACAAGCCUGCGCCGACCGCCCACAACUUUGGUGUCUAAGAUUGCAUAAUUUGAUGUCUAAUCAUCAGCAAGUGGAACAAAACCUGGAUUGAAUAGACGGUGACUCGAUCUCCGUACAGACUGAGGUCCAAAGGUCUGCGCUCACUUCUGGAACUUUCCUUUUGGGCCUUGACCGAACUCCUGUUAUUGUGUGCAGUAGCAGAGGCUGCGCUGCGUGGUUCAGUUUGUGCAAAGGCUAUUUAUUGUUUCUCAUUUACUGACCACUCGGGAGAAGCCUUUAGCAAUAGUUUUUCCCGACACAAACUUGAAUAAAGUCGACCCCUGCAGUUCUUCCUGAGGCUCUACAAGCUUCCUGGAUGCAGGAACCAUGUGCUGUUCUGACGACGCUCCGAAACCUAGUUCAGUGCCUGGCACUAGACAAUAAAAAAUUGCUUUCUGAAUGAAAGUAUAUGCUGGCAGGCGCAGGGGGUUUCAUGUCUUUCUCUGCCUUCUUAAUUCUAGCGCUCCUACGUCUUUGCAUAGGUACCUUCUUGCUCAGUUCCUGCAUCUUUCAAGCCCUUGAAGAGCUAGGUAAGAAAGGGCAUGAAAAUUCUGACAUAAUAAUUAGCAAGUGGCUUGUUAUUUGUCAAACGCCCCACUGAUGUUGUGGCAUAUACAACCUCACUUCUUUAAUUUGCCCAAAGUCAUAUUUUACCAAGCCAGGUCAGAAUUCAAACCCAGACAUCCGACACGGAGGGCUGACUUUUAAUUACUUUGCUAUUUUGUCUUAUAACAGAGGCUUAUAAGCUUAUAACCUCCAAGGGAUCCUCAGGCAUUAUGCUUCAUUUGAGUUCUUCCCUCCUGCGAGUCCUUCAGACCUCAGCGUUUGCAAUUAAAUUGGGAAACCUACUCUGAGUGCCUAAGAGACCAACUGAGUCAGAGCCUCUGUUUAUACAGGAGGCUCUGGGGGCGGGGAGGGGCGGCCAGUAGGAAUGUGUUGGAUAGGAGAAGCCAAGCCUGGGGCAAGCCCCCAUAGACAGACUCUGGACGCGCACUUGGAAAUGCUGUGUGUGAUGGCCAGACAUUGAUGUAGGUUUUGGCUUGCUUCAGGGUAAAAAGAGGACCCAAGAUGGACAGUCAGAAUGGGAGCUGAGGUCAUUUGGAGCCAGGCGCUGCUGCACGCCAUCCUCUCUGGCCUAGAAAGGAGAUACACCUUCGUUUACAGUCCACAAAGAGGAGGAAGAACACGGAGGAGACGCGAGGGCAGUAGAUGGAGUCUUCAUUCUUGAGUACGACAGGUCCCACUCUACAGCGGAUCACAGUAGUGUGCCCUGGGUGCCUUGGUGGCUGGGCCUAGUCUCUCCCCAGUCACAGUCCAUCCAAGCAGAAACAGGCCCUUGUCUAGGAAUUGGCUGGGAUUCCAAAGUCCUGAAAAAGGGCUGGAAGAGACCAUGCAAACUGGAAUGGUUUUACCAGCGCUUGCGAUAUUGAAAUUACUCAGCGCUAAGGGAGAAACCACUAGGUUUCUUAAGACUUGGUGUGUCUUCUUGGCAGACACACCAAGAAGAUUUGCGAACUCAGCUAUAGCUGCUGUAGGCUUAGAAACACGGCAAAAAUUGUUUCAGAAGUGAUUAAUCCCAUUUAUUUCCCUCAAAUACCACCCCCCUUCCUCAGAAGGGCCUCCGACAGGUGUUUAUUAUUAUUACUAUUAAUUUUAAAUGGAGUCUUUAGGUUGUUCCAACUUUCAGUAAUAACACCCUGAUGUGGCUAAGCUCUUUACAGUUUGCAUCAUUAUUGUUUUUGCAUCUCAAAGUUUUGGGAAGAAAUAAAUAGGCGGCAGUUUCUUUUGAAGCUUUUAAUACAUACGAUGCCUUUUUAAGGUUUCUUUCCCCUCCUCUCCUUCAGAAUACUUCUGCCCUGCUUCGGUAGUUUCGGGGUAUUGUGUGUGGGGAGGAACCUCUUGCAUUUAAAAAAAAAAAACCUGGAUUAAUACAUGUAAAUCUGUCUUUUAGAGGUCAGGAUACAGAAAAAAAGCAGGCAGUAAACUAAGCCAGAAUUCCUGCUUCUUUAAACCACCCUUCCUCCCAGGCUGAGACAACUUUUUUCCUAAAAAGACUGUAUUUCUAGAGAUGAAUUUGCAUCCUUUUAUAAGAAGUAACAUGUAUUGUUUAGCUUUGCCCGGCUUUUACAUAUGUUGUCAUAUGUAUUCCUCACAAUCUUCUGUGAAGUAGGUAUUAUUAUGCCUGACUCACAGAUGGGGAACCUGAAGCUCAGAGAGGUGUCCCACAUUCUCACGACAAAUUAGAGACAGAGGCUGAACCUAAACUCAUUACAAGGUCUUAACCAUUGUGCUGCAUGUAAAGAAUAUUUUGCGCCCUUGCAGGUUGGCUGUGUGGCUCCUCCCAGUCUCCUGAAGUAUUAUAAUAGAAGUGAGAAUUCUCUUAGAAGACCUUGAGGAUGGCGGGACUGGGGGCGGGGUAGGAGCGGCGAGUCUUGAGGGACCUGAGUACUGCGCCGGGUCAGUUAGGUGGAAAUGGAGUCAGGCGGAAAUGGAGUUAGGCACGUGUGGAGCCUGGGCCUGGGAUGGGGGCGGGGGUACCGGGGGGUGGUUGGAUGGUCUCCAGGAUGGCAAUCAGCCAGGGGAGCGAGAUGGAUCGCGUGAUGGGCGAACACUUUCUCAUCGCCUGCUGGUCAUAAAUAUUGUUGCUUUUCCUUGGUAACACCCCAACGCCCGAGGCGAGGCGGAGGCCCGCAGGGCGCCACCAUUGGGAGUUGAGGCCCUUUCUCUCUCCCGGAGGCCUGGGCUGGCGCCUGCCUUCGAAAGCGACCUCGAGAGAAACGCCCUGGAGUCAGGCAGGUCCCCACGGCUUUCAGGCCCCAGUUCUCCAGCCCCAGUGCAUGUUGGGAGCAUCCCCACCGCGCGGUGCACUCCGGGAGGCACUGACGCAUUUGGGCGCAGGGCUGGGCGACGAGAGCGGGUGCCCCGGAAACAAGCUCUGUUCAGAAAGCAGGUGGAGGACCUGUGUGAUCCUCUCCCCCGCCCUUCCUCAUCACUAAUCCAAAGUCGGUGUGGGUGGCCGCGGCUCCGAGAGCCUGGACGCCUACCCAAGGCCAGGCCCUGAGACAGGCUCCUCGCCUCGCCCUGGUGGGUUUGACCGCCGCCCUCCUCGCAUCCUUUUCCGUGGGAAACCCCAGGGCAGAGGCUUGGGUUUCACAUGGGUAACAUUCUUCUCCUGGAAUCAGAUCGGUCUUCCAGAGGAUAAGACCUUUCUUUCCUGAGAAGGAGAGCCUGAAGGAGACUCAAGGCCCAAGCCCUCCUUCCCUCAGCCGUAUCUACUGGUAAAUAGGUAGGUAAUUCUUGUCCAACACUUCAGAAGUCCCGCUGUGCACAUUCGAGCACCCCACAGAACGCUGUGAAAAUGAGAGGAAAAACCACAACAGAAGCCAGCAACAAACAACAAGGCCACGGGGGCAAGGCCUAACUAGGUCAGAACAGACAUGUGCCUGAGCUGUCCCGUGAGGUGGACAGGCUCCGGAUGCCCGAGUCGGCAAGAAAGGCUGGAGGGAGCGAUACGGCCGGGUGAGGCCGCUGUCGUUUCGGAGUGGCUUCGCCGCCUGCCUUCCUCGGCGCGGCGUCUAGGCGGGCAGGCAGUAGCCCUGGAGGGGCCAGGCGCUAGGGGCCUUGGGCCUGACCAUCACCCUGGAGGCCUGCGAUUUCAGCCUCUGGGAGGGCUUCCUCGGGGAUUCGAGUUUCUUCUACUUGGCUUUAGUUCCUGUGCCAGCCAUAGCCCUUGGUCCUUAGAACUUUUAAUACUAUGGUGUAAUGCUUGGGCAAAUACAUGUAACUGACCACGCACGAGUAUACAGCCCUUUUAAAAGGUAAAAGGAGUGUGUGUGUGUGUGUGUAUGUGUGUGUGUGUGUGUGUCUACCUACGCGCGCGCCUGUGAGAUUCUUCUGGGCUGAGAAUGUUUUCCCUUCCAAAUGAUGGAUAGAAGGCCUUAGAUCCUCUGAAUUUCUUAGGUUAAAUCAAGGACUUAUUUCCUUUUCCUAUGAUUAGUUUCUUUUAACAUGUAUUAAUAAUUAUAUCAUUAAUUUUGGCCACCCUCAUAGAAGUUUAAUGCCAAUAUAUAAGAGAAUGCAAAAGGGAAAAUAUUUGUAUGCCAAGUUUAGUCUGGAAAAAUAUCAGUAGCAUUUCUUAUUUGACAAAGACAUGCACUUAAAUUUUUUUUUUCCCAGUUGGCAAGGGUAUUGUUUUUAAAUGUAUAUUCCAUGAUUAUUGUUUCUGUUUGGUACUUUGGUCAUUUGGAACACAUCUGUUUCUGAUAUUGUUCCUGUGUUAAGCACACACUGUUGUGUUAGCAAGAUUUUACACCAUCUAAGAAAAUUCUUGCCAGUGCUAUUUGAUGCCCUGUUGAACUUUAGCCAAACUUCAUUUUAUAAUGUUCUCUCAGUCCUGAGCAUAUAUAAUAUAUUUUAAUGAAAUUACGCUUCUGUAUUGACUGGCAGACAUCAGAAACACAUUCACAUAGGUCAAAAGCAGUUGAGCUAAGUGUUGGGUGGGAGGAACUAUUAAAACAGUACAGGAAAAAUAUUUGGAAACAAAACAAAACUUUAAAAUAAAAUAACCCAAAUAAACAAUUCUCUCUCUCUCUCUCUCUCUCACACACACACACACACACACGCACACAGAACUUGGAUGUGGCUAUUGGGAGUUAAUGUAUAAUUCUGAUAAUUUGUGUAUUUCUUCAUUAUAUUAAACUUGGAAUUUAUAUUUUUGACAUUAUUCCAAAGGUGUAAUAAUUGACUUUUAAAAUAGAAUAACAUUGUAAUGGGAUCAUAUUAAGCAUAUAUUAAAUGUAACACAAAUAAGCACUGAGUCUACCUAAAGUGGUAUUUUUUUUUAAUUUUGUGGCUACUCAGGGGUUUUGCAUUAUAUUAUCAAAAGCUAACAACCUUAAGGCCAUUUGUGGUAAUUCAAAAAAUGUUCAAGCAUCUAUGCUUGAUGGCUAAGCUUAUAUCUAACAGUGGAAUAACUGCAAGGCAGGAAUUGGCUUGAAAAAGCAAAUAUUGGCUGUGUAUUUCAAAUAUCUUUUCUAGAAUGGAACACUUUGGUUGAUAGAUUGACCUAUUUUGUUUACAUCCAAUAUGUGUACCCCAGUAUAAAACUUAAAAAAUGGCAAUUUCUCAUGAUAUUUUAGUUAUAAGUCUAGAAAUAUCAACCUUGACAUUUGGUUUAAUAAGCUUCUGCCACUUAUUCCUAGAUCAGUAUUUUUCAAUUGACAAAUAAGUUUUCUUUGCGAUCUACCAAAACCAGGUUGUCACAUUCUUUUAGUUGUUACCUGGACAGACUGCUUUUAUUGCUCAUUAAUCAGAUGCUGUGGUUAAGGUGUGUCUAUUAAAUAACUACUUAGGGAUGUAUCGUCAUUCUGUUUGUUUAUUUAAGAAAACAAAUUUUUGUUUUGGUGUAAUUUCUAAAUAAAAUAUAUUCAUGGUAAUGUGGAUAAUUGACAUUAUUUAUACAAAUCAUUUGGAAUUGAGUACCUUGUUAACUGUGUAAUAAGUAUGGUUAUAAAAAGAGAAUGAGUAUCAUAACAUUUUUGCCUAUAUACACUUUUAAAUAUUUAUCAGGAUCUACAUUUUUCUUAAACUGUUAAUUUGGAUGUGUUGAAAUGUAGCCUAUAAAUUUCUUUUUAAGUAAUUGUUACUAAAAAACCUUAUGGAUCUUCACAUGUCUGGUUCCAAUUAAUCUGCUUAGACUAAUGGAUAAAAUAAUAAACCUGAUUUAGUCAAUCUGGACUUCUAUAUGAGUUUUCUAUGUGCCUCUUUAAGGUCUAAUGCCUUCUCCUACACAUAUUUAGUUCUUAGUUAUACUCUUAUAAAACGUGGGAUUGGAAGAAUAAUUAAUUUGAUUCAUUUUCUUAAAAAAAUUUUGCAGUUACAUCAGUACAAAAAGGCAUCUUCAAAUGAGUGUCAAUGAUUAUCAAAAGAAAACUAUAUACAUCUUUGUGAAUUUAAUUAAUCAAGUAUGUAUUGAGCACCUACUAUGUACCAGGAACUGGGGAUACAAAGAAUAAGACAUGGGUGGUCCUUGUUCUCAGAAAAUUCUCAAUCUUUUAAGGAGACUGACAAAAAUACAACUAGCUCAUCCCUGUAAUUCUUUAAUGAUUUUUAUCUACCCCCUGGACUUUGAAUUAGUAAAGUAUCAGAUGAUCCCAAUACUUUGUGUAUGUUUUAAAAAUCUUAAAGGCAU